AUACGAAACACCAAGUAUAAUGACAUAACGAUCUUGCUUCAAAAAUAUAACCUCAAAAUGGCCGACGGUUUAAGUUCUCCAACGACUCAAAAUAUUUAUUAUUUAUCACAAAAACUCCAUGAAUUACAAUUAAAAGAAGCUAAACUUCAACAGAAACUAGCGAUGAAUAAACUAAAACAACAAAUAAGGCGCGUUGACGGUAUUAUGAGUUUGAAUCUUCAAGCAGAAAGUGAAACUUUACAAACCACUUGUACAAUCACUGAAAACUUAACAAAGCUGGAGAAAAUCAUCAGUGGAAAUAAAAACAUAAUCCCAGUAACAAGGGAGAAGCACAAAGAAGUCCAACAGCUUCUUGCAGCUUCAACAAACAUUUUAAACCAAACUGCAAGUAAAAUUAAUUAUGAAGAAUAUUCCAAUUUGAAUCUCAACACUUCUCUUGAAAAUAUCAAAACCCUUUCAACAAAAUUUGAAAAAAUGAACACUGCUCUGGAUAAUUACAUGCAAUUAUACAAGAUGAUCAACUGCAUAAUAAGCAUAGGUGAAAAAAAUUCAUUACAAGCUGAUUAUGCACACAAGCCGCGCACACGGAGAUCCCGCCUCUCCGACAGUUCAUUUCUUACCACAUUUGAGGCCAACAACAUCAGUACAUCUUCCCAAUUAGAAGAAACCAUAAAACCUCAUCUACACCACAUGAAAUAAUUUACAAGCUGCCUGAAUGCAAGCACACCUUACUCAGUCUUUAAUCGUUUCACAGGUAAUUCAUUACUAUGUGAAUUGGAAUCUUCUGAGAAUGUCAUAUGUGAAGAGGAGAAGUCUGUUGGUCCUUGAGAAUCACUUACAGUUGAAAAACCUAUCAUAAAUUAUGAAUAAUAAUUAAAUAAAUAACUUAAUUUUUAUAGA